rnacentral:rRNA from 1 species
GAUGAACGCUGGCGGCGUGCCUAAUACAUGCAAGUAGAACGCUGAAGGAGGAGCUUGCUCUUCUGGAUGAGUUGCGAACGGGUGAGUAACGCGUAGGUAACCUGCCUGGUAGCGGGGGAUAACUAUUGGAAACGAUAGCUAAUACCGCAUGACAACAGUUAUUGCAUGAUAACUGUUUAAAAGGGGCAACUGCUCCACUACCAGAUGGACCUGCGUUGUAUUAGCUAGUUGGUGAGGUAACGGCUCACCAAGGCGACGAUACAUAGCCGACCUGAGAGGGUGAUCGGCCACACUGGGACCGAGACACGGCCCAGACUCCUACGGGAGGCAGCAGUAGGGAAUCUUCGGCAAUGGACGGAAGUCUGACCGAGCAACGCCGCGUGAGUGAAGAAGGUUUUCGGAUCGUAAAGCUCUGUUGUAAGAGAAGAACGAGUGUGAGAGUGGAAAGUUCACACUGUGACGGUAUCUUACCAGAAAGGGACGGCUAACUACGUG